GUAUUUUCGAAUUAAGUUAAUUCGUGAUAACAAAUGUUCAGACAAAUAAGUUAAAGGUGAUGUUGGUAAGUUGUAGAGGUUCCCCCUUCCGUAACCUAAAAGAUAACGAUAGAGGGUCUCAUAACGUUGCACACAAGGUGGAUAUGGAUUGUUUAAAAAGUGCCAUAAAACACUUAUUGUGAAUGAUCCUUCCGCAGGUUCACCUACGGAAA
rnacentral:misc_RNA from 1 species